CUGCUCAGGACGAACGCUGGCGGCGUGCUUAACACAUGCAAGUCGAGCGGUAAGRCCUUUCGGGGUACACGAGCGGCGAACGGGUGAGUAACACGUGGGUGAUCUGCCCUGCACUCUGGGAUAAGCUUGGGAAACUGGGUCUAAUACCGGAUAUGACCACAUGCCGCAUGGUGUGUGGUGGAAAGAUUUAUCGGUGCAGGAUGGGCCCGCGGCCUAUCAGCUUGUUGGUGGGGUAAUGGCCUACCAAGGCGACGACGGGUAGCCGACCUGAGAGGGUGACCGGCCACACUGGGACUGAGACACGGCCCAGACUCCUACGGGAGGCAGCAGUGGGGAAUAUUGCACAAUGGGCGGAAGCCUGAUGCAGCGACGCCGCGUGAGGGAUGAAGGCCUUCGGGUUGUAAACCUCUUUCAGCAGGGACGAAGCGUGAGUGACGGUACCUGCAGAAGAAGCACCGGCUAACUACGUGCCAGCAGCCGCGGUAAUACGUAGGGUGCGAGCGUUGUCCGGAAUUACUGGGCGUAAAGAGUUCGUAGGCGGUUUGUCGCGUCGUUUGUGAAAACCCGGGGCUCAACUUCGGGCUUGCAGGCGAUACGGGCAGACUUGAGUGUUUCAGGGGAGACUGGAAUUCCUGGUGUAGCGGUGAAAUGCGCAGAUAUCAGGAGGAACACCGGUGGCGAAGGCGGGUCUCUGGGAAACAACUGACGCUGAGGAACGAAAGCGUGGGUAGCAAACAGGAUUAGAUACCCUGGUAGUCCACGCCGUAAACGGUGGGCGCUAGGUGUGGGUUCCUUCCACGGGAUCUGUGCCGUAGCUAACGCAUUAAGGCGCCCCGGCCCG
rnacentral:rRNA from 1 species